rnacentral:lncRNA from 1 species
AGACUUCAGUUUCUGUUCUCUAUCGAUUUUUCAGCCAUGUCUGUCGACUUUGAUUUUCUCUGCUAAAAUAACUUGUGGGCAAAUUUCCACUGUUCGCUAUAGUUGUGUCUUGUCUUCAGUUAUGCUUGGAGUCCCCUUUAAGAGAUGGUGUUCCCCCCACCCCCCCAUGCUGAAAAAUUCAUCCCUCAGGUUGAUAGCACAGCAGGCAGGCAGGCAUUUUCCUUUCUGUCUUUCAUGUAAUGACCGUGAAAUCCCUUCCAUAAGAACAUAGAGGUUUUGUUCUGUUCUGUUUCUAUUUUCAGAACAAUAAGUCUCCAAUGCACCACCACCCACCGGAAAAAGAGCACACAGUGACUGACAAGGGGAACUAUUGGCUUUAUAAGAAGAGGAAGAGAGACCUGAGCUAGCAUGUGAGCACGCUCAGCCUCCGGCCAUGUGACCAGUAAGAAGGCCCUCACCAGAAGUGGCCCCUUGACCUUGGACUUAUCAGCCUCUGUAAAUCCUUAAUGGACUAAGACUUGGACUAAAACCUGUGAAGGAAGAGAGUUGGAAACACAAGAAGAAACUGGAAAAUAUAGCAAAGGGGUCAGAGUUGUAUGAAAAGACAUCUGGGAGCAGGACUGUCCUGACAUCCAGCACAACAGCUGCACUGUCUGAUGCCCCUUUGCAGAUGAGGUCCUGGGCACACUUGGCACAGUCCACAGAGCAGCAGGAGCAGCAGCUCUUUUUGCAGAAGGAGCAUUUGCAUUUUUUGCAUUUUUCAGGAGCCAGCACAGGUGCAGGAGCCACCAGUGGCCAGGACCAGUCGGGGUUCAUCUGGGACCGAGGUUCGUCAGCACUGGUCUGUCUUCACUGUGUACUCUCUGGAGAACAAAAUCUCAUCAAUCUGAACUCAUGGAGGGGGAGUCAGCACAGCAUUCUGCAUUUAUUUUGAGAAAUGCUUCUGUCUUGAUGGUGUUGACAACGGCAUGCCUGUUGGAAGCAGGGUUUGGGGGCACAGAUGGUGACCAAAGGAGUGAAGAUCAUUUGGGAAGAUUCUCCUCUUUGACAUGUAACAGAGUGGAAGGCACACCUGGACUUUUAUGGGGGGAAAUGAAAGGGAAAUCAUUUCCAGGAAAGAUGGGUCUUUAACCAGCUCCGCCCAGUCCAUCUGGGCUAACUCUUAAACAUGAGCCCUGCACCAUUCAUCCAUGGUUUUGUGAACAUCAUCUGGUUAAGAUACUCAGGUCUGUACUUUAAUAAGCUCGCCAAACCUGACACUGUUUGGGGUCCAGCUGUAUUUUACUGUUUUUGCUUUUAAGAUCAAUGUUCCCAGGUUCAAACCAUGAAAAGUAGAUGGUUCCUUGAAGUCACGAGUCCUAACCUGGUAGAGUUUGGGCCUCAUUUGACCCCACAGAUGUGUUUUGUUUAGCUUUCUUUUCUUUUCUUUUCUUUUUUUCUUUCUCCCUUCUGCUUCCCCUUCUCCUUCCUUCCUUCCUUCUUUCCUUCCUUCCUUCCUU